rnacentral:lncRNA from 1 species
ACCAGGAAAGAUAUUCUGAACAACAACAUAACUCACCACUUAGAAAAUAAGUAGCUAGUUGUGACUGUUUCCUGAAACCAUAGUAACAUGAUCGCAUCUCUGUUGAUUGAACCAUGUUGAUUCAACAAUAUACAACUGUCGUUAAUGACAUUAAUACCUUCUGCCAAUUAACAGAUUCGUGAUCGCAAGGAAUGUCAGAUUUUUUUUUUCAAUUCCACAAACAACAGAAAGCUGUUAAUUUUAACGAGUUGUCACCAGUUCACCUGCUUCUGUCGUCAUGCCUGUCACAGUCACCUCAGCACACUACAUUUCCCAGACUCCCUCCUGGUUCACACCCGUUCACGUUCCCAAUCACCAGCCUACUAAUCACCCGCACCUGUUGCUGCCAAUCAGGAACAUAAAGCCACUCACACUCCCCAGUAUCUUGGUCUGGUCUCAAGGAGAAGUUACAGUUUUGGAUUCAGCAGUAUGAAAAAGAAAUGGAGAAGAAGGAGCAAGAGAUCACUGCUCUUCAGAAUAAAAGAAACAUCAACCAGGCACGAAUUCAGGAGCUGUCUAAGAAGUGCAGAGACAUGCAAUAGGAUAUCAUUGAGGACAGGAUGGAGAAGGAACAUUUGCGUGCACAGCUGGAGAAGGAGCAGAGGGACAGAGAUGCAGCAACUAAGAUCCAGGCCUGGUGGCGUGGGACUCUUGUACGUAGAGGACUAGGUUCUCCUAAGAAAGCAAGCAAAUCCAAGUCUAAAAAAGGCAAAAAGAAGAAGAAAUGAAGACUGAGACAAUAAAAGUUUUUUUUUUGUGGCUGCAAAAUAUCAAUCAAUUACAAAAGGAAAGCAAAUAUUUGCAAGAGCAGCAGAGUGAGAGUUUGUAUAUUAAAAAUGUAUUUUUAAGAUUUUUACUAGGGUUUAUAAGUCAUUACCAAACUAAGAUUUUUAGAUAAUUUUAGUUUAAGACAGAACUAUACCCAUAGUAAUUCUACCCAAGGGAAAUACUAACCAGAUUAUAGGUGACUCUAAAAGGUCACACAGGUUAGUUCUACUAGACAAAGAUGUGG